GAUAGAGGACGCAAAGGACAUAAGUAGGUUGCAGCCGGAAGGCUUGGGGAAAGGCCGCUGCAAAAGAAAGGGGAAUUUGCCGAAGAAAGGAGCAUCCCAAAGCUUUUUUCUGGGACGGUGCAGAAGAUGCAUCGGACUGUCACUUUUUGUGGAGAGCUAUCGG
rnacentral:ncRNA from 1 species